AGCGAACGCUGGCGGCAGGCCUAACACAUGCAAGUCGAACGAACCUUUCGGGGUUAGUGGCGGACGGGUGAGUAACACGUGGGAACGUGCCUUUAGGUUCGGAAUAACUCAGGGAAACUUGUGCUAAUACCGAAUGUGCCCUUCGGGGGAAAGAUUUAUCGCCUUUAGAGCGGCCCGCGUCUGAUUAGCUAGUUGGUUGAGGUAAUGGCUCACCAAGGCGACGAUCUGUAGCUGGUCUGAGAGGAUGAUCAGCCACAUUGGGACUGAGACACGGCCCAAACUCCUACGGGGGGCAGCAGUGGGGAAUCUUGCGCAAUGGGCGAAAGCCUGACGCAGCCAUGCCGCGUGAAUGAUGAAGGUCUUAGGAUUGUAAAAUUCUUUCACCGGGGACGAUAAUGACGGUACCCGGAGAAGAAGCCCCGGCUAACUUCGUG
rnacentral:rRNA from 1 species